rnacentral:rRNA from 1 species
CGGUCUGGGAUGGGCUCGCGGCCUAUCAGCUUGUUGGUGAGGUAGUGGCUCACCAAGGCGACGACGGGUAGCCGGCCUGAGAGGGCGACCGGCCACACUGGGACUGAGACACGGCCCAGACUCCUACGAGAGACAGCAGUGGGGAAUAUUGCACAAUGGGCGAAAGCCUGAUGCAGCGACGCCGCGUGAGGGAUGACGGCCUUCGGGUUGUAAACCUCUUUCAGCAGGGAAGAAGCGAAAGUGACGGUACCUGCAGAAGAAGCACCGGCUAACUACGUGCCAGCAGCCGCGGUAAUACGUAGGGUGCGAGCGUUGUCCGGAAUUAUUGGGCGUAAAGAGCUUGUAGGCGGUUUGUCGCGUCUGCUGUGAAAAUCCGGGGCUCAACCCCGGACUUGCAGUGGGUACGGGCAGGCUAGAGUGUGGUAGGGGAGACUGGAAUUCCUGGUGUAGCGGUGGAAUGCGCAGAUAUCAGGAGGAACACCGAUGGCGAAGGCAGGUCUCUGGGCC